rnacentral:rRNA from 5 species
UUGGAGACCUCAAAUCAGGUAGGACUACCCGCUGAACUUAAGCAUAUCAAUAAGCGGAGGAAAAGAAACUAACAAGGAUUCCCCUAGUAACUGCGAGUGAAGCGGGAAAAGCUCAAAUUUGAAAUCUGGCAGUUCUUAACUGUCCGAGUUGUAAUCUAGAGAAGUGUUACCUGUGCUGGACCGUGUACAAGUCUCCUGGAAUGGAGCAUCAUAGAGGGUGAGAAUCCCGUCUUUGACACGGACUACCUGUGCGUUAUGGUGCGCUCUCAAAGAGUCGAGUUGUUUGGGAAUGCAGCUCAAAAUGGGUGGUAAAUGCCAUCUAAAGCUAAAUAUUGGCGAGAGACCGAUAGCGAACAAGUACCGUGAGGGAAAGAUGAAAAGAACUUUGGAAAGAGAGUUAAACAGUACGUGAAAUUGCUGAAAGGGAAACGCUUGAAGUCAGUCGCGUUGGCUAGAAAUCAGCCUUGCUCUUGCACGGUGUACUUUCUGGUCGACGGGUCAGCAUCAAUUUUGACCAUUGGAUAAAGUCUUUGGGAAUGUGGCAUCUCAGGAUGUGUUAUAGCCCAUUGUCGCAUACGGUGGUUGGGAUUGAGGAACUCAGCACGCCGCAAGGCCAGGUUUCGACCAUGUUCGUGCUUAGGAUGCUGGCAUAAUGGCUUUAAUCGACCCGUC